UCCUCGCUCAAAGAAUCGCAUUCAAAGCUCACGCACAGAAGCCUUUCAGACUUCACACCGGUUCCUUCCUCCCUUUGGGAGAACCAAAAGCUUUGGGAGAAAGUCCCCGGACACCCUGCUCCAGAGUCUUCCCUCGUGGAAGAUUUUGGACAUUUCAGUCAGGCAAUGCGGAAACGCGCCGCCACAGAAGCAGUUUGAUAGCGGCUUACGCUCUAUUCUCUCCCAGCCGCCCGUGCGGCACCCGACAUCGGUUUCGGUCAAACGUCAUCGGUGGAAAUAAUGGGGUGUUGCCGGGCAGUUGGAGGGAGGUUUAUCGAGUUGCCUUUCGUCGUGUUUGGAUAGUCAUGCGAUUGCUCGGUUUCCUCCUUGGAAGAGACCGGGUAACUCAAUGGGGCUCAUUCUUGAUGCGAGG
rnacentral:RNase_MRP_RNA from 2 species